AACGAACGCUGGCGGCAGGCUUAACACAUGCAAGUCGAGCGCACCGCAAGGGGAGCGGCAGACGGGUGAGUAACGCGUGGGAAUCUACCCAUCUCUACGGAAUAACGCGUGGAAACGUGUGCUAAUACCGUAUACGUCCUUCGGGAGAAAGAUUUAUCGGAGAUGGAUGAGCCCGCGUUGGAAUAGCUAGUUGGUGAGGUAAGGGACUACCAAGGCAACGAUCCAUAGCUGGUCUGAGAGAAUGAUGAGCCACACUGGGACUGAGACACGGCCCAUACUCCUACGGGAGGCAGAAGUGGGGAAUAUUGGACAAUGGGCGCAAGCCUGAUGCAGCCAUGCCGCGUGAAUGAUGAAGGCCAUAGGGUUGUAAAGCUCUUUCACCGGGGAAGAUAAUGACGGUAACCGGAGAAGAAGCCCCGGCUAACUUCGUGCCAGCCGCCGCCGUAAUAC
rnacentral:rRNA from 1 species